rnacentral:lncRNA from 1 species
UAAAUAUUAACCAAUGAUGGAUCUUUUCUUUACAGAAGGUUACCAAACCAGUUUGCAUUUGUUGACUUAGUUAGUGGAGGCUCCUCCAUAACGAGCUCGUUAAUUUUAGGCCACCUUGCGUGGCUUUGGUUGACACUCAGUGUGUGACAGCUAAUGUGAUGCUCCCUGAAAAGUAUAUCGCAGAGUCUCGCAGAAUUACGAGGAAGGCAACGGAGCUCCGCAGCCCUGCGUUUAACCUUUAUUUAUUUAUCCAUCAUAAAAUGUGGGGCUUCUCCAGUUCCAGACAAUAUCUGAAAACUAGAGUAACAAAGAUUAAGGGGACACACACAGCCUCUAUGCAGACACGCUGACAUACGGAGCUCAGCCCUCUAUGCAGACACACUGAAAUAUGAAGACACCCACAGGCCUCUAUGCAGACACGCUGACAUACGGAGCUCAGCCCUCUAUGCAGACACACUGAAAUAUGAAGACACCCACAGGCCUCUAUGCAGACACACUGAAAUAUAGAAACACACACAGCUCUCCAUGCGGACAUGCUGAAAUACAGAGCACAGCCCUCUAUGCAGACACACUGAAAUAUAGUCAUUGGCAACUAAAAUACAGUGUGAACACAUCCAACAAAAUGGGCACACAGGGAAUUAUGACAGGAACUUAUGACAGCAAACGGCACAUGGACCCACAGGUCUGAUGAUCUCUGGCCAUCCCAAAGGUUGGGCCACUCCCUACCAUAUGCACCUCUGCUGAAGCAAGUUGAGAACUGACUCGCCGGGAGGGAGUCGCUGGCCAACGUGAGGCCAGCCCUGUGCACCGAGCGCGCAUGGAAAUGGUGCGGGUUCACCGUCUCGGGAGUUGGAUACGACUGCCAUCUUUUUAUAAAUGAGAAUUGCAGGAUCAUCGACCAUUGUGUACUCACACAUUUAAAGAUGUGUAAGUCUUAAAUAACCCUUUGGGAAUAUUAAGGAGCUGUCACAGGGGUUCUCAAUUUUGGAUGUGCAUAAAAACACUUCUGUAGUGAUUUUAAAUGAAAGUGCCUGGUCUCAACUAACACCUGCUGAACCAGAAUUGCCACGGUUUGGGUUUGAGAAUCUGUUUUUUUGUUUUUGCUUUUAUAAGUCUCAGAAGCAAAAGUGAGGGUCACUGGUUUGCAGGUGAUUGAAGGGUUUGGCCACCUGUGGGCCAUGAUGUCUGUUGUUGGUGGUGGUAAUGGUGAGGUUGGGGCUGUGAUGUCGUUGUCAUUGGUGGUAGUGAUGGUGAGGUCGGGGCUGUGAUGUCAUUGUCAUUGGUGGUGAUGGUGAGGUCGGGGCUGUGAUGUCGUUGUCAUUGGUGGUGAUGGUGAGGUCAGGGCUGUUAUGUCGUUGUCAUUGGUGGUGGUGAUGGUGAGGUCGGGGCUGUAGCAUCGUCAUUGGUGGUGGUGAUGGUGAGGUCGGGGCUGUGAUGUCAUUGUCAUUGGUGGUGGUGAUGGUGAGGUCGGGGCUGGGAUGUCAUUGUCAUUGGCGGUGGUGAUGGUAAGGUCAGGGCUAUAGUGUCAUCAUUGGUGGUGGUGAUGGUGAGGUCAGGGCUGUAGCAUCGUCAUUGGUGGUGGUGAUCGUGAGGUCGGAGCUGUGAUGUCGUUGUCGUUGGUGGUGGUGAUGGUGAGGUCGGGGCUGUGAUGUCAUUGUCAUUGGUGGUGGCGAUGGUGAGGUCGGGGCUGUAGCAUCAUCAUUGGUGGUGGUGAUCGUGAGGUCGGAGCUGUGAUGUCAUUGUCGGUGGUGGUGGUGAUGGUGAGGUCAGGGCUGUGAUGUCGUUGUCAUUGGUGGUGGUGAUGGUGAGGUCGGGGCUGUGAUGUCGUUGUCAUUGGUGGUGGUGAUGGUGAGGUCGGGGCUGUGAUGUCGUUGUUGUUGGUGGUGAUGGUGAGGUCAGGGCUGUAGUGUUGUCAUUGGUGGUGGUGAUGGUGAGGUCAGGGCUGUAGUGUUGUCGUUGGUGGUGGUGAUGGUGAGGUCACUGUAGGAAAGCCCAGCAGAAUGGCCCUGAAGCGUGGGCUCCGUCCCUGAUAUGCCUUCCCAUGAUCUCUUUU